rnacentral:rRNA from 1 species
UACGGAGGGUGCGAGCGUUGUCCGGAAUUACUGGGCGUAAAGCGUGCGCAGGCGGCUUCUCAAGUCAGGGGUGAAAGCCCAGAGCUCAACUCUGGAAUUGCCUUUGAGACUGAGUGGCUUGAGUACGGGAGAGGUGAGUGGAAUUCCCAGUGUAGAGGUGAAAUUCGUAGAUAUUGGGAAGAACACCGGUGGCGAAGGCGGCUCACUGGCCCGUAACUGACGCUCAUGCACGACAGCGUGGGGAUCAAACAGG